AAGCAGCUAGUCUAAAACAAGACCAUUAACUUCGGCUUAAUAAAUCUCAAUACAUCUGAGGCUGCUCA
rnacentral:tRNA from 1 species